GACGUAGGAGGCGAGCGUUAUCCGGAUUCACUGGGCGUAAAGGGCAUGUAGGCGGUUCGAUCAGUCGUGUGUUAAAGCCCCCGGCUCAACUGGGGGAGGUCAUGCGAGACUAUUGGACUUGAGGGCAGCAGAGGAGCGUGGAACUCCCGGUGUAGCGGUGGAAUGCGUAGAUAUCGGGAAGAACACCAGUGGCGAAGGCGACGCUCUGGGCUGUCACUGACGCUGAAAUGCGAAAGUGUGGGGAGCAAACGGG
rnacentral:rRNA from 1 species